CUGCGCAAGCAAUUCCUGCCAUCCUCCCACUGCAGUCUAUUCAUCGGGACCUCAGAUUUGACAGGCUUAUUUCAGCAAUAUGUGGACUUAAGAGAGACUUUCUCAACCAGAGACACCAUUGUUCCUAGUUCAUCUCAGAAAAGCAGAAUAUCUGCCAUACAUCUCCUGUUCCGUGGCUGCUUGUCUUCAGAAAUAACAGACCUGUGAAAGAAGAGGCAGGAAAGAGACUGCUACUCCCAUCACCUCACAUGGUGUGUACAGCCAGACACCUAAGUGCAGACGGGGUUAAAUGGAUUGCCAGCUUUGGACUUGGGAAGGAAUUUUGCUCAAGGGUGUAGCGGCCAGGGACUGCUGGGUCUGGGAGUUUUUCUGGCUCUGUUAAGGUCAUGAAGAUGUGUACUCCACAGCACCGUGCUCCUGCGGUUGCUGGAGGGAAGGUGCCGGUGACCCCGGCUGCUCCUUGUCCCUGCUGCCAAGGCUGGGCUCAGGCCUCUGGGACGCUGCUUUCUCUGAGCUGCCUUUGCCUCAUGGAAAUCUCCAGUGUGUGUAAGAUGAUACGCAUGAGAGCAUUAGUGUGGGCACAUGAUUGCUGGCACCUAUUGAUAUUAAUCAGCAAACAAGCUCACGUACCAAAUGAACUCCAGUGACAGCUUCCUGGGGAAGGAAUAGCCAGUCUCACCGGGCAAAGGAAAUCUGCUGCUUCUCCUGUAGCUUCUCCAGGAUAUUUCCCUAAUGUAGAGUUUAAAAGCACUUGAUCCCUGGUCAAAGGUCUGGUCUUGUCACUAAAGCUGCAGCCCCAAAUGUCUGAAAGCAAAUGGCCCACAUCUUGCAUAAAAUCCUAGGCGGAGCAAGCAAGUGCCUGUAAAGUAAGAUCUAUUUAAUUGUGUCUUGUCAUUGCAACAAUAUUUAUGCAGAGGCAGUGUUAUAUUUUGAUACAUUCAUCAAGGAAAAAAAAAGAGGUGUUUUUUCCAGGUUUUUCCAGCUGAAUGACUAAUCACAGAAAUCCGUGGUUCGUUUCGGAUACAGGUAACCAUAGCUACUUUUGUUGCCUAGCGACUCCUUCUUCGUACAGCUGAGAGUGGUCCUGAUCCUGCCACCUGCUGCACAGCCAUAUUCGGCUGUCAUACGGCUGCAGCCCUGCAGCAGCUCCCCGUGACACAGAACAAGUGGUGUGGGGCUUAUCCUGCAACCCAAGGGAUUAGAAUUGGAGCUGGUGCUGUUAUAGGAAGACAAAGAGGGCUGCCCAGCACAAGGGAGGGGACCAAAUGCUGGUCUCCCUUAUACAUAAACCCAGCUGUGGCGUAAGGCAGGAUCUGACUCGGUGUCCUCAGUUGUGCGACAAUACAUCUGAGACACAAAUAUAUACGUAUAUUAAAUCAUACCUUCUCCAUUAGUUUGCAUUAAAGACCAUUUGGGGCAGAAUUUAAGGGUAGUGAUUAGUUUCUCAGCCCAGACACAGAACAACUAGUAAUAAACCAAGGGUCUGGCUCCUUCACUGGGUGAAAAGCAGCACUGGUUCUUUUAA